rnacentral:rRNA from 1 species
UACGUAGGGGGCAAGCGUUGUCCGGAAUUAUUGGGCGUAAAGCGCGCGCAGGCGGUUUUUUAAGUCUGGUGUAUAAACCUUGGGCUCAACUUAAGGAGGCACUGGAAACUGGGAGGCUUGAGUGUAGGAGAGGAAAGUGGAAUUCCACGUGUAGCGGUGAAAUGCGUAGAGAUGUGGAGGAACACCAGUGGCGAGGGCGACUUUCUGGCCUAUAACUGACGCUGAGGCGCGAAAGCGUGGGGAGCGAACAGG